UAAUUUCGCUUGACGCUCAAAGGCAAACAGUGCUACAACCAGCAAAUAGGGUAACGGCAACUCCUCGACGGCUCCUUUAAAUAUCGCUACUCGUGAUGUUUUUGUACAUUACUAGAGCAGUAUGAACAAGUUUUUUCUAUCUGUGGUUCUGGCCGUGAUCGUUGCAAUGGCAACAUUACAAGUUUCAGCAUGGGGAGGUGCUGGCUGUGUUUACAAGCUCAAAAAACGAGAAGUACAAGACCCUCUUCCAGACUCUCUCAUCGAGCAAUCAACUGACGCCCUGAAGAAUGGUAAAUGGAAAGCCAAGAAGAACAGAUUCAUGCUUGGCAUAUUUUCACCCAUCUGUCUAGAAACGAAAAAGGAUGAUUCUACAAAUGAGCAACAUUCGUCAACUUGAAGACACAGGACGCCCCAAAGAUGAGAAAACAAUGAGUUCGCACUUGAAACAUAGAGCAUAUUGAAUGAUGGUGCUAUAAACAAGUGACAUAAUGGCGUGAGCCUGAGGAUAAUAUAACGCUGAUGUAUUUGAUCAAAAAUAAACGCUAGUUCACCUCA